rnacentral:tRNA from 1 species
UACUCGAUGACCGAAUAGUAAGUAUAGAUCUUUUAAAUCUAGUAUAGUAGGAUUACAUCUACUUCGAGUAA